ensembl:lncRNA
UGCUUUGGAGCUGGACAUACUUUGGUGCCUUCAGGACAGAAGCAGCCAGCAAUAAACCACCCUGGAUAGUGUGCUCCUGUUUGCCAGCAGGCGACUGUCCCUAAAGUGUCUACAAUGACAGAGCACAGUACAUCUUCUGAAAGAAGGCACAGAGGUGCUGUGCUUGGGUGCCUCCAACAGUGUGCAGGGACAUCCAUGUGGUCUACAUCCUGAUUCUCUUCUGGUUACUGCUUCCUAGGGAGGAGAUCACUCCUGCCCCAUGAGCCUGCCUUACUGAUGAUCCCAUCAGAGGCCUUCAUUCACCGAGAUGUCCAGAGGUGGGAUGCCAGGAGAGCAGUACCAGCAUGAUCCUCUCUGUCCUCCCCUUGCCAGAAUGAGUCUUGGACGUGGGAGAACAGACCCAACAGCUGCCCUCUGAAGCACAUGUGCACAUUGUUGGAGAAAAAUGCAGCCAGCUCAGGCAACCUCAGAGCUGCUUAAUGAAUUUUGACUUGUACUAAUUUGCCAAACUUUCGACUGAAUUAAAUUGGCACUGGCUGAUGCAGUUUUUUUCAUUUACACUGCUCAGUCUGGAACAAAAUGAAAGGCAAGUGUUUUUGACUGAAACCUGGCAUGAGCCCCCUUCCACCAGCCUCAGUUCUCUGUCAUACAGGAUGCUGUCCAGCAGUGUGGCCAGUUUGCACAUGGUCUGCAUCUGGGUCAAGAAUGCAUGUUAUUAAAGAAGGCAACGCCCUUGGCAACCACUUCAUCCUUCAAGGUGGUAGCCCUUGGGCUUCUUAGUGUCUCUUAUUGCAUCAAAGGUGCUGUUACAUAGUGAACUGAAGGUUAUCCUCUUUCCAUGGAAUUCUCCAGGCACAUCCCUUGGGUGAAGAACUACAGACCUUCUAUUAGCACAUCCUCUAGCAAGCUCUGCAUCAUUCUCACAUCAUGCACUCUGCCCAGCCGAGUCUUGUGUGCUCAGACCUCUCUUCAGCCCCAGAAAGGGCAGGAACAAGGGUACAUGUAUAGCAGAAGCUCAAGAUCUUUGGGAAACUCCUGAGUGACAGAGCAGAGGGAGCGUCGGCAAAGCAUCUCAGAGAAGCAACCUUUUGUUAUACCUACAGCUUCAACCAACACGGAAAUAAUCACAAUAAUAAGACUCACAGAGUUAAUUGAUUGACCAUUUUGUGACCAUUGCAGCCAGCUUGGCCAUAGCUGGGUUACUGCAUCUUGUGUCCCCAUGAUUUCUUACAGGGAAAGAAGCACCUGAAAUACCUCAGGAUAUUUAGGAUUGGUUCCCCUGGCUGGUUCUCUCAACAGUUCACUCCAUUCUGGCUUUUUUUCCAUAUCUGCUAGAAGGCCAUACCAACAUGUUCAUUUUUCUUGUGCUGUCCUCCAUGCUCUGCGCUGAGGGACUAUAUUUGAAAUCAGUGAGUGAGCUCUGUGUUAAGAAAUAGCUCUGGCACUAAAAUGCUUAAAAUUACUCUUUGUUUCUCUGACUUCUCUCCAAAUUUGGAUUAUCCCCCCAGACUUGCCCACAAGAUGGAAUACUAAGAAAAUAUUGUUUUGUUUAAUUUAUUUUUUGAUGUCCGCAUUUCUCACAUUUCCUCUUCCAAUUUCAAAGUGAGUCUGAGCUCCUCCACUAACAUUGCUUCAGCUGUUAUUUUGGGGAUCUGAGAGAGGGGAUUAAAAAUAAACGAAGUGCGGGUAAUGCGUUUCUUGCCA